GACGAACCGAGCGAACGUUAUUCGGAAUUACUGGGCGUAAAGCGCGCGUAGGCGGCUUUGCAAGUCGGGUGUGAAAUCCCCAGGCUUAACCUGGGAACUGCAUUCGAGACUGCAUUGCUAGAGUAUGGGAGAGGGAAGUGGAAUUUCCGGUGUAGCGGUGAAAUGCGUAGAUAUCGGAAGGAACAUCAGUGGCGAAAGCGACUUCCUGGACCAAUACUGACGCUCAUGUGCGAAAGCGUGGGGAGCAAACAGG
rnacentral:rRNA from 1 species